rfam:Gallibacterium anatis TMN179, complete genome.
UUCAUCGCGAGGUGAAAUCUGAAGGAAGCCGUAGGCAAACCACUGGUCCGACGAACAGAAAUCGCAUCAGGCAUACGAGGGUGGGUAAGUCUGCUGAACAAGAUAACGCCCUAAGCUACACGGAACCCGAGGUGUAAAUGCGGCGGAUAGAUGGUGGGAAAGAGCGUGUU